rnacentral:rRNA from 1 species
UGGGGAAUAUUGCGCAAUGGGGGAAACCCUGACGCAGCGACGCCGCGUGCGGGAUGAAGGCCUUCGGGUUGUAAACCGGUUUUGAUUGGGAGCAAGCCUUUUGGGUGAGUGUACCUUUCGAAUAAGCGCCGGCUAACUACGUGCCAGCAGCCGCGGUAAUACGUAGGGCGCAAGCGUUAUCCGGAAUUAUUGGGCGUAAAGGGUACGUAGGCGGUUAGAUAAGUUUGGUGUGAAAGCCCGAGGCUCAACCACGGGAAGCACUGAAAACUGUUUAACUUGAAUAGUGGAAGGGAUUGUGGAAUUCCUAGUGUAGCGGUGAAAUGCGUAGAGAUUAGGAAGAAUACCAAUGGCGAAAGCAACAAUCUGGACACAUAUUGACGCUGAGGUACGAAAGCGUGGGGAGCAAACAGG